UGAUAGAGGGAGGGCAAACAAGAGAGAGAGAGGAUAAAAGAGAGAGAGAGAGAGAGAGAGGACAGAUGGGAGAGAGAGAGGACUAAUGAGAGAGCGAGAAGACAAACAAGAGAGAGAGGACAAAUGAGAGAGAGAGAAAACAAAUGAGAGAGGGAGGACAAAUGAGAGAGAGAGGACAGAUGAGAGAGAGAGAAAACAGAUGAGAGGGAGAAAAGAUGAGAGAGCAAGAGAACAGAUGAGAGAGAGGACAAACGAGAGAGAGAGGACAAAGGAGAGAAGGAGAGGGGGAGAGUCUUGCUUUAAAAAACGUUGCUUCCCAAAAAUAGCCAAGGCUCUUCUCUCGCCGUGCCGCACGCACAC
ensembl:lncRNA